rnacentral:lncRNA from 1 species
GAAAAUAAAAGAAAGGUGCAACUGCCAGCCUACAAAUAAGUCUUUGUUCCCGUUUUAAAGGGGGAGACAGUCACCCUCUUCUGAUGGAUUCACACACACACACACAAUUCAUUCUCACUCACUCUCACACGGAUCUCUCUCAUCAAACAAAGUUGAAAACAAAGUUGUGUUAAAAAAUUUCAAUUUCAGAUCUGAAAAAUCAAAGUCCCCAAAAACAAAGCAAAAACAGUAAAAAAAAAAAGGAUUCAGAAGCUGUUUCUAAUUUCAUUCGAUUGCUGUAUAUUUUCUGGAUCUUGGAAAGCUGUUUGAGUAGAAGAAGCUGCUGUUUGCUGCUGUUAUUGAUACUGCUGUAGUUUUGUUUCAACCCUAGGAAUUCUAGACCUUUAUUUGGUCACUGUUCUACUGUUCUCUGCUAUAGGUAUGCGGAACCUGUUGUCCUGUAUUUUGAUGUUUGUGAAAAUGUGUGUUGUUCAUGUUAAGCCUGUGAUUGAUCUCCUAUAUUUAGUAUGUUUAAUUUCCAAAUCUGCCUGAAUUCUCCUUCUCUGAUUAAUAUCUGGUGCUAUAAGACACGUUUCAAUUAAAUGUCCAAGCAAUUAGGUAAUUGUUGAUUAAGUUGAUACAGUUUGUUGACAGAAUUCACUUCCUAAAAGAAAUGAUUCAUGCUUAAAGUGAGCUUACGGAUUAAACUGACUCCAAAUGUUUUUUAAGCUGUUUGAUUAAUGAUAGUCCUUCCUUGUAAAUUGAGAAUCUGCUGGGGAAAUGAAAGCCUGCCGCCUAAGGAAAUCCAUUUUCAUGGAAGUUAGUUAACUAGGGCCUAAAUCUGGAUUUGUAUUAGCACAGUUUUAUAAUUCAUAUGAUGAACAACAAUAUGUAUGAUUCAGCAUCCCAGAUCCACCUUUCGAAUUUCAAAAGAAGGGAUUUAAUUUGCUGCAUAUGCCAUUGGGCGUGUGUACCGCACAAGAGUUAAUUGGACUCUCCAGCUACAUGGCCCAGAGACUCCUAAGGUCUUCGGCUUACCACAGGGCAAGCAGUUUCAGAAGGCACGUUUGGGUCUCAAAACAUUGCCCCUUUGUAUCUUACUAAGACCUGUUGGAUAAUAGAAACAAUUAGUUGAAUUCAGCCCAUUAGGCUAUUAUUCAUAUUUUAAUCCACGAUUGAAUUAAGUAAUUAAGAGGAGGAUGUUCACUAACUUAAUAAACCAUUGCUAAUUGUUUGACGUGAAGUCUCUCAACAAUUUAAGGAGAUGAAUCGAAUUUCAUCCUACUAUGUUGUUAUUUUAUAUGCUUAGCAAGUAGAUUAGUCUUCAUAUACGUAGCUUUCUAGUUAUAAUCUUUAUCAGUUUAGAAUCGUUAAUGAAGAAGAACAGAGAUGUAGUACAAAUUUGUUUAAAUAAUUUGGUUUAUUCGGUGGAACAGUAACUUAUGCUUUCCCGCAAAUAAAUUCCAUUAACUCUUGGCCUUUAUACGCAAUCCCAAAACAUAAGAAUAAAUAACUCAUGAAUAUGUGUAGUUGCUUUAGGCGUACUUUAAUAAUUUGUCAUGGUUAUGUGAUGACCCGAUCUGUCGUCUUCUUGUAUUUCAGCCCCGUUAUCCCGGUAAUAUGCUUCCCCAUGUGUUAUUAUAUGUGCUUGGUGAGUUUGAAGUGUUUCGGAUUGCAUUUUGAUAGAAAUGAGACAAAUAGUCUCUUUAAGGAAAGUUUAAGUUAGAAAAGUCAACCGUACGUUGACUUGUGAGUUAGAGGGCUCGGAAUGGAUUUACGAUGAUUUGACUAGUUUCGGAUAGUGAUUUGUGACUUGGGAGAGAAAACGGAAUCGAAUUUGGAGGUCCGGUGUAGAAUUAGGCUUGAAUUGGCUAAGUUGGAAUUUAGGCGAAAUCCGUUUGAUAGGUGAGAUUUUUAUCCGGGAGUCGGAAUGGAAUUCCGAGAGUUGUGGUAGCUUUGUUAAGAGAUUUUGGAUAUGUCCGCAAAUUUUCGUGUCAUUCGGGCUUCGUUUGGUUGGUUUCGGCAUCGAAUGAGAUUUUGAGAAGUUCAUGUUUAUCUUAGACUUUGAUUUGAGGAAAAUGAUGAUUUUUUAUGUUAAUGAUAAUGUUCUUAUUGCUCGAGCAAAUUUGAAUGGGGUAUUUAGUCAUAUUGUGUUGUUGGUUUGGACCCCAGAGGCCUCGGGGUGAUAUCGGAGGGUUAAAUGAGGAAUUUUGGAGUUUGCAUGAAAUGCACCUGCUGUUUCUAGUAUUUUCGCGGAAGCGGGCUAGGAACCGCUUAAGCGGUGUCCGUGGAAGCGGACAAGUAACGGAAAUGGGCUAGGAACCGCUUAAGCGGUGUCCGCGGAAGCGGACAAGUAGCCGCAGAAGCGGUCAGAUGGACCGCGUAUGCGAGAGUCAGGGAAGUGGAGAAGCGACCGCAGAAGCGGCCGAUGGGAAAAAGGGCCAAACCGCAAAAGCGGGUUAUUGAGCGCGGAAGCGAUACUGCAGGUGCGGUCAAUGGACCGCAGAAGCGAAAAUGUCUGAGGUUUUAAUGUAAUCAGUGUAUUCGAAUUUCAGAAGGGUAAAAUCAUUUUGGGGUGCGAACUAAGGCGAUUUUUGGGCGAUUUUGGAGAGGCUUCAAAGGAGAAUCAUCAGGUAUGGAUAUUUUUACUUGGAUUGUGAUAUUAUAGUGUAAAAACAUGAAUUAAUCACUGAAAAGUCAAGGAAUUUUGGUAUGAAAUUGAGGAAACUAGGGCAUGAGUUUUAAUAUUUCAAAUUCAGAUUUGAUAGGUCAUUUGAACUCGGAUUUUGGAGUUCUUGGUAUAUAUGAACUCGUGGCCAGACGAAGAUUUUCGGAAAUGCAAGUUUCAUAAGUUUUCGAGAAGCGGGCUGGGGGCUCGGGUUUGCUAGUUUCGAGAUUUUUCUUAUAUUUCGAUUGUUUUCGAUUGGGCGUUGUUCCAUUAGCUUAUUAUGAUAUAGUUGUACUGAUUUUGGCUAGUUUCGACACGCGUGGAGGCCGGUUGAGGAGCAAAGGCGUCGUGGGCUUGAGCUUUUGCCGGAUCGAGAUGGGUAAUACUUGUAAAUGAUGUCCUGAGGGUUUGUAUACCCCGGACUUGCACAUCAUAGUGCUGUAUUGAGGUGACUUGCACGCCGGAUAAGGGGCGUGGGGUAGAGCACCACUGGGGAUUAUGACUUGGUCUGUCCCUCUUAUUAAAAAUACUACGUAAUUGCUUGAAAUUGAAUUGACACCCUAAUAAAGAUAUUAAUUAUCAUGAACUGGACUGACUAUCAUGUUUGGGGCUUAGUGCCGAAUAUUUGAAUCCUUCAGGGAUUGGUAUCACUGUCUUGAUAAUAUCGUGCAUAUUUUCAUCUUAGUCUAAGGUUUUAAAAUGGUAUUUUUGCUACUCAGCAUUUUUAUAAGAUUUGAAAACUUAAACGAGGCUUUGAUGACAUUUUAGUUGUGAGCUGUUAUGAUACUGUUGCCCAAGGGGCUUAUAUGCAUUCAUGACUAUGCAUGGGUCGGGCUGCAUGAUCUGCAACGGAUAUAUAUUGAUAUUGCGCUUGGGCUAAAGGAGCCCCUCUGGAGUCUGAACCCCCACAGUGAGCGCGGGUGCCUUUGCAUGGAUCGGGAUGUACGCCACAGCAUCAUACGCAUUGCAUUACAUACAUAUGGCUUCACUUGUACUACGUGGCACGACAUUUAGCAUUCAUACAUUACUGGCAUACAUGUGUUAUCUGCCUUAUUGACCAGACACCCUGGUGGAAAUUGUUAAUGAGUGUUGAGCCCAAGAGGACUGAUAUGAGUGCGGACUUGCACUGUUUGAGGUUGUACCCAGGUAUUGAUCUGUUAUAAUGAAAGGAUGAGAUGUUAAAAAAAAGAGAUUUCCAAAUAAUCUACUCGCAUAUGUUAAAAAGGAAUACCUUGUGAGUGUACUUCAGUUUAAAGGAUGAUACUGUACGUUUAUAGCAUGAGAUAGUGCUUUGUGUGGUUUCUUUUUCCUCAGCGUUAUUUACUUUUAUUACCGUUGAGUUGGAAGUACUCACUCAACUUCCUGCACCAUGUGUGCAGAUUCAGGUACUUGGAAGCUUACCUGAGCUUGGAGCUGGUCUAGAGCUCCAUUUGGGAUCGUCGAGAUAGCUGCCUGGCGUC